rnacentral:lncRNA from 1 species
CUCUCAUGCGGUAAAAAUGCUGCAAAGAUGCGGUCUUGCAUCGUUUUAAAAAGGAGAUAAGAGAGGGCAUGCAUACAGAUGAUCAGAGAAAAAAGGAUGGCGUGAGAGAGGUUUCUGGCAUGAGAAAAGAAAAGAAGAGAAAAAGGGAGAGAGAAGUGGGCGCACUCUUUUCUUGUGUACCUUAGGGUUUUGGCUUAGGGUUCGGGAAGUGAGAACGUGAGCUACGAGUGUCGUGAGUCCACCAAACUUCAGGGAGAGUAUCAUCAACCUCUCUACCAUCUUUGCUGAUGAUCCGAAGCAUUCAAGAAGUUGGCAGACAUCGAUCGAAGGAGUUCGAUCAACAUCAGCCAUAAAAAAGGUACAGUCAUGAACUAGCAUUCGUGAGGAGCC